rnacentral:pre_miRNA from 1 species
AGAAAUUAAAAAGAGAGAUGUGAGCCGUUAACAUGGAGUGAAACUUUUCCAACUGUCAGGGAAAACUUCACAGCAGCUUGACAGAAAAUUUAACUCCAUGUUGCACUUUUAAUUUUUCGAGUUAAACUUUCUGUCAAGCUGCUUUGAAGUUUACCAUGACAGCUGCGAAAGUUUCACUCCAUGUUACCGACUCACAUCUCUCUUUUUAAUUUCU